GAUGAACGCUGGCGGCGUGCCUAAUACAUGCGAGUCGAGCGAACGGAUGAGGAGCUUGCUCCUCUGACGUUAGCGGCGGACGGGUGAGUAACACGUGGAUAACCUACCUAUAAGACUGGGAUAACUUCGGGAAACCGGAGCUAAUACCGGAUAAUAUAUUGAACCGCAUGGUUCAAUAGUGAAAGACGGUUUUGCUGUCACUUAUAGAUGGAUCCGCGCCGCAUUAGCUAGUUGGUAAGGUAACGGCUUACCAAGGCAACGAUGCGUAGCCGACCUGAGAGGGUGAUCGGCCACACUGGAACUGAGACACGGUCCAGACUCCUACGGGAGGCAGCAGUAGGGAAUCUUCCGCAAUGGGCGAAAGCCUGACGGAGCAACGCCGCGUGAGUGAUGAAGGUCUUCGGAUCGUAAAACUCUGUUAUUAGGGAAGAACAAAUGUGUAAGUAACUGUGCACAUCUUGACGGUACCUAAUCAGAAAGCCACGGCUAACUACGUG
rnacentral:rRNA from 1 species